rnacentral:rRNA from 1 species
AGGCUUAACACAUGCAAGUCGAGCGCCCCGCAAGGGGAGCGGCAGACGGGUGAGUAACGCGUGGGAACGUACCCUUUACUACGGAAUAACGCAGGGAAACUUGUGCUAAUACCGAUGUGCCCUUUGGGGGAAAGAUUUAUCGGUAAAGGAUCGGCCCGCGUUGGAUUAGCUAGUUGGUGGGGUAAAGGCCUACCAAGGCGACGAUCCAUAGCUGGUCUGAGAGGAUGAUCAGCCACAUUGGGACUGAGACACGGCCCAAACUCCUACGGGAGGCAGCAGUGGGGAAUAUUGGACAAUGGGCGCAAGCCUGAUCCAGCCAUGCCGCGUGAGUGAUGAAGGCCCUAGGGUUGUAAAGCUCUUUCACCGGAGAAGAUAAUGACGGUAUCCGGAGAAGAAGCCCCGGCUAACUUCGUGCCAGCAGCCCGCGGUAAUACGAAGGGGGCUAGCCGUUGUUCGGAAUUACUGGGCGUAAAGCGCACGUA